GCUCAGGAUGAACGCUAGCUACAGGCUUAACACAUGCAAGUCGAGGGGUAGCAGGGUAGCAAUACCGCUGACGACUGGCGCACGGGUGAGUAACACGUAUCCAACCUUCCCAUUACUCGGGGAUAGCCUUUCGAAAGAAAGAUUAAUACCCGAUAGUACUUUUUCGAGGCAUCUCGUAAAAAGUUAAAGAUUUAUUGGUAAUGGAUGGGGAUGCGUUCCAUUAGAUUGUUGGUGAGGUAACGGCUCACCAAGUCUUCGAUGGAUAGGGGUUCUGAGAGGAAGGUCCCCCACAUUGGUACUGAGACACGGACCAAACUCCUACGGGAGGCAGCAGUGAGGAAUAUUGGUCAAUGGGCGAGAGCCUGAACCAGCCAAGUAGCGU
rnacentral:rRNA from 1 species